rnacentral:rRNA from 1 species
UUGCUUCUCUGAUGUUAGCGGCGGACGGGUGAGUAACACGUGGAUAACCUACCUAUAAGACUGGGAUAACUUCGGGAAACCGGAGCUAAUACCGGAUAAUAUUUUGAACCGCAUGGUUCAAAAGUGAAAGACGGUCUUGCUGUCACUUAUAGAUGGAUCCGCGCUGCAUUAGCUAGUUGGUAAGGUAACGGCUUACCAAGGCAACGAUGCAUAGCCGACCUGAGAGGGUGAUCGGCCACACUGGAACUGAGACACGGUCCAGACUCCUACGGGAGGCAGCAGUAGGGAAUCUUCCGCAAUGGGCGAAAGCCUGACGGAGCAACGCCGCGUGAGUGAUGAAGGUCUUCGGAUCGUAAAACUCUGUUAUUAGGGAAGAACAUAUGUGUAAGUAACUGUGCACAUCUUGACGGUACCUAAUCAGAAAGCCACGGCUAACUACGUGCCAGCAGCCGCGGUAAUACGUAGGUGGCAAGCGUUAUCCGGAAUUAUUGGGCGUAAAGCGCGCGUAGGCGGUUUUUUAAGUCUGAUGUGAAAGCCCACGGCUCAACCGUGGAGGGUCAUUGGAAACUGGAAAACUUGAGUGCAGAAGAGGAAAGUGGAAUUCCAUGUGUAGCGGUGAAAUGCGCAGAGAUAUGGAGGAACACCAGUGGCGAAGGCGACUUUCUGGUCUGUAACUGACGCUGAUGUGCGAAAGCGUGGGGAUCAAACAGGAUUAGAUACCCUGGUAGUCCACGCCGUAAACGAUGAGUGCUAAGUG